UGCNAGUCGAGCGGUAACAGAUCUAGCUUGCUAGAUGCUGACGAGCGGNGGANGGGUGAGUAAUGCAUAGGAAACUGCCCAGUAGUGGGGGAUAGCCCGGGGAAACCCGGAUUAAUACCGCGUACGCCCUUCGGGGGAAAGCAGGGGAUCUUCGGACCUUGCGCUAUUGGAUGUGCCUAUGUCGGAUUAGCUAGUUGGUGGGGUAAAGGCCUACCAAGGCGACGAUCCGUAGCUGGUCUGAGAGGAUGAUCAGCCACAUCGGGACUGAGACACGGCCCGAACUCCUACGGGAGGCAGCAGUGGGGAAUAUUGGACAAUGGGGGCAACCCUGAUCCAGCCAUGCCGCGUGUGUGAAGAAGGCUUUCGGGUUGUAAAGCACUUUCAGUGAGGAGGAAAACUCUGCGACUAAUACUCGUAGGGCUUGACGUUACUCACAGAAGAAGCACCGGCUAACUCCGUGCCAGCAGCCGCGGUAAUACGGAGGGUGCAAGCGUUAAUCGGAAUUACUGGGCGUAAAGCGCGCGUAGGUGGUUUGAUAAGCGAGAUGUGAAAGCCCCGGGCUUAACCUGGGAACGGCAUUUCGAACUGUCAGGCUAGAGUAUGGUAGAGGGUAGUGGAAUUUCCUGUGUAGCGGUGAAAUGCGUAGAUAUAGGAAGGAACACCAGUGGCGAAGGCGGCUACCUGGACCAAUA
rnacentral:rRNA from 1 species